CCCAGCUUCUUCAAAGAACAGUAGUAAAAUAAAUGUGAGGUAAAUAAGCAGUUGAAAUCAUUCCUAGAAGAGCCAGUGGAGCAAUGUUUUACAGAACCUCCUCUCCAUUGGAGUUUCUUAGCCCUGAACUGCAGCACUGUGCCUCUGGAAACUCUAUACAUAAGGCUAUUCUCCAUUACCUUAAUAUUAACACCAAACCUUAAAAUAUUAAUGCAUUUUAUUUUGAUUUCUUGUUGGUUCUGAGUUCCUUGCUGGACAAUGCAUUCCGGUUUUUUACUUACAGCUCAUGAUCUCUCUAUGUGCAAUUGGUUGCACUUUGUACUGUAUUGUACACAUAUCAAUUCUGGAUCUUAAAAUUCCAGUGAGCUACAGUUUUAUCAUGAAGAUUUGGCUGUACUUGUAGUAACUUGCAUUUACUCUCUCAACUUCCAGCAAACACUGUCAAGGUUUUUUUUUUCCCCUACAGCUUAGUCACAGUGUUAGUUUUACUUCACAAGUCAAUAUUUAUGAAUCACUGCAGUUCUCUAAAUGCAUGGCCUAAUCAUCCUCUUACACAAUAGAUAAUCUCUUAAUGUUAAUGGAAGUCCACUGAAUGUGGGGUUAGUCAGUUUUCACACCGGGGUAAUUAAGACACAAUGAACUGCCACUCUACGUUCUUGUCCUGGAAAAAAGAUGUGUUAUCAACAUAUUACACACAGAUGGUAUCUUAUCAAAAACAACACUUAAGCAGCAGUUACAUGCCAAAAUUAGUGCUCUCCUUGAAGACUCAAGGCCAACUCUACAGUCUUCCCUUUGGGAAAGAUGGACGGCCACCAGCAGCAAGUAAAGGGGGAAAAUGUUCAUGGAAACAAGCAGAAGAAAUUAAAAACCCAUUGAGGGAUGGUCCAUGAGUAUUGUUGACCUUGUUUUUAAGUGAAACACACUACAAGGAAUAUUUCUCUGAUAUGUUUAACAUGAGAGAUUGACAUUAUAAAAAUUAAAGCUUUCCUAAAUUACAUUCUCUUCCCCUUAAAUCACAAUGCAGUUUAUGUCAAUAGCAAUGGGAAGGUGAAAAGGGACAAUAUCCGGUGAAGAUCUUAGGCAGCUGGCUUCAAACUAAUGAACACAUACCUCUCUCCCUGUAGGGCAUAAUUAAACUGCGUAAGUCCCCAUCACCGGAUGCACUACAGGUCAACACUGUAAGCAGAUUUAAAACAGGACUGGAAAAUUCACAGAGGACUAUGCAUGCAAAUGUGAGUAAUUCAAGUUGCGAUUCCUGUAGACCAGAUCUUCAAUUAUCUCCAAUUAUAAACUUGGACUCGUAUGGGCGAUAUAAGAAAUCCUUUUAUGAACCCAUAGAAAAAUAUGCAUAUGAACAAGUACAACUCUCAAGAAAUUCAUUCCAUGUAAUGAUCUUAGCUCACAGGAUAGGUGGAGAUGUCUACAGGUAAGGCUUAUUAUUCAUCAUUGUAUGGACAAUCAUUAAGACUUCACGGAAAAUAGCUGCUCGUAAUCUUGGAAAAUGGAAUGACUAAAUGCUCAUAAAUCCCAAACCAAAAGUUUCCUCAGCAACCCUAAUUCUUUCUUUUGUGUUAUAUUUCAUAAUGCUACUCUCAGGAUGGCUUCUUUCAUCUAUAAGUCCAUCACUCUAUUAAGCACACAAAUUAUUUGACAAAAGGAAAAAAAUUGCAAUGUGAACAGAUUUGUGAAUUCUGGAUGAGGCAAAGAACCACAGGGAAAAAAAAAGAAAAGAAAAAACCCCAAAACCACAGUUUUUCAUCCUGUAAGUAUCAUGUCUUCAGCAUAUUGUCUAGGGCAGAGUUAGCUGCAAUAAAAAAAAAAGACUGCUCCUCAUCUCAUUCUUGACUUUAUUCCUUCCACUAACUUCUCCCUUCUACAAAUUUUCUUCACUGUGAAGUCUGAAAAAAUAACCAUGUCUAGACCAAUAGAAAAAGAAGUCAUCCAGAACAGAAUUGCUCCCUGAGUGAACAGCAACAGGAUUUUUAUACAACUUUGCUACCUGAGUUACUGGCAAUACUCUGGCAAAAGAAAGAGACAUAAGAAAAGAAAUCAUUCUUAUCCUAGGUUACAUUAGUCCUUCUAUGUUUGGCUCCAUUUUUGUGCUCUUGUUUUUUUAUUGUAUAUUCAAGUAUUACUAUGAAUCUGAGCAUUAACUCAGGAGGGAAAUUUAAACGUGCAGAUGAAAGAAGACAGAAGUUGUCAGCACACUUGAUGGUGGGAAAUGAAGUCAUCUUUUUCGGCAAAAAUGAAAAAUGUAGGGUUCAGCAGAAUGGAUACACCCUCAGAAUCCUUGACUAAUCUUAGAAAGUAUUUAAGAAAAUCUUCAAAUAACUUUUAAAUUGAAGUUCAAAUUCAAGUGCAGCACUCUGUUUAUGCAAUGAAAAGUUUGCACAUCUCAUGCAGCAUGUAGCCAUAAAUGUCAGCUUUUUGUCAAGCUACUGCAAAUGCGGCUUCUAGUAGGACACCCUCCAGGAUUAAAACUUGAUCUAAGUCAGUUUCUUAAGCUACUGUCUGAAUAUCUGAAUGCUGGGUUCUUUUGAAUUGAUGGGAGAAGUGAAUUCUUAAACAAGCAGUCCAAUAUUUACAUUCUGAAUACAGUAGCAAAGAAUAGCUGAACAAUCUCAGCUUCUUGGGAAGAGCGUAAAAGGAAAGCUGAUGUUAAAUAACCACAAUUUAGCUGUACAGAGUAACUGGAUGAAAAAUAAUGCUGUCUGCAUGAGGGUGACAUCCUAGCUCUGCAGUAUGCAGUUGCAAAACAUUAGGAAACAGGAAAAUAGAGCAGAGUUGGGAAGAUGGCCCAAUGGCAUGUAUGUCUGUCCAAACCUGAAAUAAAGACACAGUUCCUAUGAA